rnacentral:rRNA from 1 species
GACGAACGCUGGCGGCGUGCUUAACACAUGCAAGUCGAACGGAAAGGCCCUGCUUUUGUGGGGUGCUCGAGUGGCGAACGGGUGAGUAGCACGUGAGUAACCUGCCCUUGACUUUGGGAUAACUUCAGAAAACUGGGGCUAAUACCGGAUAGGAGCUCCUGCUGCAUGGUGGGGGUUGGAAAGUUUCGGCGGUUGGGGAUGGACUCGCGGCUUAUCAGCUUGUUGGUGGGGUAGUGGCUUACCAAGGCUUUGACGGGUAGCCGGCCUGAGAGGGUGACCGGCCACAUUGGGACUGAGAUACGGCCCAGACUCCUACGGGAGGCAGCAGUGGGGAAUAUUGCACAAUGGGCGGAAGCCUGAUGCAGCAACGCCGCGUGCGGGAUGACGGCCUUCGGGUUGUAAACCGCUUUCGCCUGUGACGAAGCGUGAGUGACGGUAAUGGGUAAAGAAGCACCGGCUAACUACGUGCCAGCAGCCGCGGUGAUACGUAGGGUACGAGCGUUGUCCGGAUUUAUUGGGCGUAAAGGGCUCGUAGGUGGUUGAUCGCGUCGGAAGUGUAAUCUUGGGGCUUAACCCUGAGCGUGCUUUCGAUACGGGUUGACUUGAGGAAGGUAGGGGAGAAUGGAAUUCCUGGUGGAGCGGUGGAAUGCGCAGAUAUCAGGAGGAACACCAGUGGCGAAGGCGGUUCUCUGGGCCUUUCCUGACGCUGAGGAGCGAAAGCGUGGGGAGCGAACAGGCUUAGAUACCCUGGUAGUCCACGCUGUAAACGGUGGGUACUAGGUGUGGGGUCCAUUCCACGGGUUCCGUGCCGUAGCUAACGCUUUAAGUACCCCGCCUGGGGAGUACGGCCGCAAGGCUAAAACUCAAAGGAAUUGACGGGGCCCCGCACAAGCGGCGGAGCAUGCGGAUUAAUUCGAUGCAACGCGUAGAACCUUACCUGGGUUUGACAUGGAUCGGGAGUGCUCAGAGAUGGGUGUGCCUCUUUUGGGGUCGGUUCACAGGUGGUGCAUGGCUGUCGUCAGCUCGUGUCGUGAGAUGUUGGGUUAAGUCCCGCAACGAGCGCAACCCUUGUUCACUGUUGCCAGCACGUUAUGGUGGGGACUCAGUGGAGACCGCCGGGGUCAACUCGGAGGAAGGUGGGGAUGUCGUCAAGUCAUCAUGCCCCUUAUGUCCAGGGCUUCACGCAUGCUACAAUGGCUGGUACAGAGAGUGGCGAGCCUGUGAGGGUGAGCGAAUCUCGGAAAGCCGGUCUCAGUUCGGAUUGGGGUCUGCAACUCGACCUCAUGAAGUCGGAGUCGCUAGUAAUCGCAGAUCAGCAACGCUGCGGUGAAUACGUUCCCGGGGCU